rnacentral:rRNA from 1 species
CCACGGGGCUCAAACCAUGCACCGAAGCUUAGGGUUUACACGCAAGUGUAAGCGGUAGCGGAGCGUUCCGUAAGCCUGUGAAGGGAGACUCGUGAGAGCUCCUGGAGGUAUCGGAAGUGCGAAUGAUGACAUGAGUAGCGACAAAGAGUGUGAGAGACACUCUCGCCGAAAGUCCAAGGGUUCCUGCGCAAUGCUAAUCAGCGCAGGGUUAGCCGGCCCCUAAGUCGAGGCAGAAAUGCGUAGACGAUGGGAACCACGUUAAUAUUCGUGGGCCUGGUGGUAGUGACGGAUCUCGCAGGUCUGUAUGUCCUUAUCGGAUUGGAUGUGCAGUGAGCAGGUUCCAGGAAAUAGCUCCACCGACAUAGACCGUACCCUAAACCGACACAGGUGGACUGGUAGAGCAUACCAAGGCGCUUGAGAGAACUAUGCUGAAGGAACUCGGCAAAUUGCAUGCGUAACUUCGGGAUAAGCAUGACUGUUCAUUGGGCAACCAGUGAGCAGUGGCACAAAAUUGGGGGUGGCGACUGUUUACUAAAAACACAGGGCUCUGCGAAGUUGCAAAACGACGUAUAGGGUCUGACGCCUGCCCGGUGCCGGAAGGUUAAAAGGAGAGGUGCAAGCCUUGAAUUGAAGCCCCGGUAAACGGCGGCCGUAACAAUAACGGUCCUAAGGUAGCGAAAUUCCUUGUCGGGUAAGUUCCGACCUGCACGAAUGGCGUAACGAUCUCCCCACUGUCUCCAGCAUAGACUCAGCGAAAUUGAUUUCCCCGUGAAGAUGCGGGGUUCCUGCGGUCAGACGGAAAGACCCCAUGAACCUUUACUAUAGCUUUGCGCUGGCACUUGUGUCGGCAUGUGCAGGAUAGGUGGUAGGCUUUGAAGCUUGGACGCUAGUUCGAGUGGAGCCGCAAGAUGAGAUACCACCCUUAUCAACAUAGGUGUCUAACCGCGAUGUAACAGCAUUCGGGACAGCGCAUGGUGGGUAGUUUGACUGGGGCGGUCGCCUCCCAAAGAGUAACGGAGGCGCGCGAUGGUGGGCUCAGGACGGUCGGAAAUCGUCCGCUGAGUGCAAUGGCAUAAGCCUGCCUGACUGCGAGACUGACAAGUCGAGCAGAGUCGAAAGACGGUCAUAGUGAUCCGGUGGUCCCGCGUGGAAGGGCCAUCGCUCAACGAAUAAAAGGUACUCUGGGGAUAACAGGCUGAUACUGCCCAAGAGUCCAUAUCGACGGCAGUGUUUGGCACCUCGAUGUCGGCUCAUCACAUCCUGGGGCUGGAGCAGGUCCCAAGGGUAUGGCUGUUCGCCAUUUAAAGUGGUACGUGAGCUGGGUUUAAAACGUCGUGAGACAGUUUGGUCCCUAUCUGCCGUGGGUGUUGGAAUGUUGAGGAGAGCUGCCCCUAGUACGAGAGGACCGGGGUGGACGAAUCUCUGGUGGACCUGUUGUGGCGCCAGCCGCAUUGCAGGGUAGCUAUAUUCGGACGGGAUAACUGCUGAAAGCAUCUAAGCAGGAAGCCUCCUCCAAAACGAGCAUUCCCUUGAGAGCCGUGGAAGACCACCACGUUGAUAGGCCGGAUGUGGAAGCCCCGCGAGGGGUGAAGCUGACCGGUACUAAUAGCUCA